rnacentral:rRNA from 1 species
UACGUAGGGUGCAAGCGUUAAUCGGAAUUACUGGGCGUAAAGCGUGCGCAGGCGGUUUUGUAAGUCUGUCGUGAAAUCCCCGGGCUCAACCUGGGAAUUGCGAUGGAGACUGCAAGGCUAGAAUCUGGCAGAGGGGGGUAGAAUUCCACGUGUAGCAGUGAAAUGCGUAGAGAUGUGGAGGAACACCGAUGGCGAAGGCAGCCCCCUGGGUCAAGAUUGACGCUCAUGCAUGAAAGCGUGGGGAGCAAACAGG